rnacentral:rRNA from 1 species
GCGGUUACACUUCUGAAGAAACCCCCAGUUUGAUGAAGGCGGCAGAAAAGAUAGAUAGCGAAUAGGAAUAAGAGGUAUAGGAAAACUAAUAUCGUAGGGGUGAAAUCCCAAAUGUUAGCAGGACUUAUCAAGAUUGUGAACUAUGUAACCGGGGUGGAGGACCAGGAUUGGAUACCCUGUUACUCCCGGCGUCAAGUAAAGUGAAAAAAAAUUUUUAUUUUGAUAUGCUUGCCGGGCAACUACGUCUUAACAGGUAAAAGUCGAAGUACUUGGCGGUCUAGAGGUAGAUGAUACUUUUUGAUUAACCAGCCCGCGGGACUUGACGGUUAAUCCGAUGGUCCGCGUAAAUUCUACUCUUUCUUGAAUUCUCAGUUGGUGUAUGGCCGUCGCGUGCUUCUCGUGAGGGAGUAGCGAGAUCCAGUGCGCAUGAAAUGUAUUCGUGUCGGUGAGUGGAGGAAGGCAGGUCGUCAUGCCGCCCAUGAAGGAGGCUUAGUUGAGUCACAUUGGAUUAUUUAUCAAGCGGAACCGAGGAAGGAAGGAGCCGGGGGAAGAAGAAGUGGGUAGUAAGAAGAGCAUAAUUCGCUUUUUUGAAUCGUUGAACUCCUAGGUGUACAAAUUGCCCGUCGUCCC